CUAAGUGGCGGACGGGUGAGUAAUGUAUAGUUAAUCUGCCCUUUAGAGGGGGAUAACAGUUGGAAACGACUGCUAAUACCCCAUAGGCUGAGGAGCAAAAGGAGGAAUCCGCCCAAGGAGGGGCUCGCGUCUGAUUAGUUAGUUGGUGAGGCAAUGGCUUACCAAGGCGACGAUCAGUAGCUGGUCCGAGAGGAUGAUCAGCCACACUGGGACUGAGACACGGCCCAG
rnacentral:rRNA from 1 species